rnacentral:rRNA from 1 species
GUCCACACGGUAAACGAUGAAUACUCGCUGUUUGCGAUAUACUGCAAGCGGCCAAGCGAAAGCGUUAAGUAUUCCACCUGGGGAGUACGCCGGCAACGGUGAAACUCAAAAGGAAUUGACGGGGGCCCGCACAAGCGGAGGAACAUGUGGUUUAAUUCGAUGAUACGCGAGGAACCUUACCCGGGCUUAAAUUGCAGAUGAAUUACGGUGAAAAGUCGUAAAGCCGCAAGGCAUCUGUGAAAGGUGCUGCAUGGUUGUCGU